UAGUACGAUUUCCUUUAGCAACAGUGAUACAUUUAAAAAUCGGAGCAAGAUUUCUGGUAGAAAAGAUUGCACAAAAAAUCGAGGGGUAUUUUUCGACUAAAAUAGUCCUAGUGAGCGAUAGCUGGGUCUCUAGGUACACCUAAAAUGCAUUUGUUUUUGCGCUGUUUAAAAGUGAAAAAAAGAGUGCAACCAUUUUUUUCGAAACACAGGUUUGAUUUCGCGAACCCUAGGAUAACAAUAGAUACUUAUAACCAUUAGGCUACGUCAAGUUUACUC